GAUGAAGAACGUAGCGAAAUGCGUUAAGUAGUGUGAAUUGCAGAAUUCAGUGAAUCAUCGAAUCUUUGAACGCACAUUGCGCCCCUUGGUAUUCCAUGGGGCAUGCCUGUUCGAGCGUCAUUUGUACCUUCAAGCUUUGCUUGGUGUUGGGUGUUUGUCUCGCCUUUGCGUGUAGACUCGCCUUAAAAUAAUUGGCAGCCGGCGUAUUGAUUUCGGAGCGCAGUACAUCUCGCGCUUUGCACUCAUAACGACAGCGUCCAAAAGUACAUUUUACACUCUUGACCUCGGAUCAGGUAGGGAUACCCGCUGAACUUAAGCAUAUCAAUAAGCGGAGGA
rnacentral:misc_RNA from 1 species